rnacentral:snRNA from 1 species
UGCGAUAUUCAUCGUGGGAA